rnacentral:misc_RNA from 1 species
GCACUCUCCGGCUUAAAGAAUUUCACAGCGCCGAUUGACAAAAAGUUGAGAAAAGGGAGACUAACAUGGUUUGAAGGUCUGUAUCAUAGAAUAGCAAAUACGCCUGAAAAUUAGGUUGAGUUCAGUGAAAUUAUAGGAGAUAAGAAAGUGAGGUUAGUCAAAAUGAUGUGGGGGAAAAAGGAAUUCAGUGCUCUAGAUUCUCUGAAGAUAUAUCCCUAUACCAAGUGAGUGAUAGAAAUGAACCAUAUUACCAACUCCAACUAGUUAAUGACUUAGGAUUAACACUUACUUGAGUUUUGUACAAAUUUAUUUGAAA